GAUGUGGACUCCACUGGACCAAAGCCAAGAACUGCUGGAGCUGACACAGAGCGGGAGCUGGAAAGGUGGCAAGGCUGUAGGGCAGCCACUCACCCCCAUGGCCCGGCUGUCCAGCUGAGCCUUCCUUUUCCUUAGGGAGCCCCUGUACCACUUUCUUCCCCAGCUCUCCUGGAAUCCAGAGAGCUGUGGCCAAACAGGUGACUCCGGGGACAUUCUUCUCCAUGGUCCACACGGCCAUCUCUCUUCAUUCUCCACGCCUCCAGAACCCUUCGUGGAAGCGUGGAAGCGCAUUGCCCAGAGGCAGCAACCGGUCCCCAUGGGGCAGGUGAAUGGAGGCAGUGCUGGUUACAACGUUGCUGAGAUGUCUGCCUUCCUCCCACUUCUCCUUAGAGGAGCAAGGCCUUGAAUGCCAGUCUCAGCGGCAAUACAAUCACAGAAGAUUCAUCCCAACCCAGCUGAGAACUGCAUGGAGGCAAGGAACUGGAGCUGAGGGCAGCAGGUGGCAUGUGCUGUUGGUCGGUGGGGAUCCAGAGCCACAUGCCGGACAAGGGUGGAAGCCAGGCCUCCUGCACCCUUUCCUGGGCGGUGGCGUUGGUCAGCAGAGCCUUUGGAAGCUGGAAGUGCUUGGAGUGCUGCUCGCAGAGAAGUCGGAGCUGGCCGCUUGCACGCGGGCCACGGUGGGAGGCCUGACACCCUGGCAGCCACUCUGGCCACCCAGAUCCUGCCUCCGUCCUGGGAGCCACCGUUCCCCUGGUUACUCCUAUGGGCUUCUGUGGGGCUCUUGGACCCAGGCAUGGAGCUUUGGUCUCUUGAUUGGCAAACUACACCCAGGAUCGCUGCUUGUCUAUGGUCUCCAGUGUUAG
rnacentral:lncRNA from 1 species